UACGGAGGGUGCGAGCGUUAUUCGGAAUUACUGGGCGUAAAGCGCGUGCAGGCGGCUCGACAAGUCUGAUGUGAAAGCCCUGGGCUUAACCUGGGAAGUGCAUUGGAAACUGUCGGGCUUGAGUACUGGAGAGGAAGGGGGAAUUCCCGGUGUAGAGGUGAAAUUCGUAGAGAUCGGGAGGAAUACCAGUGGCGAAGGCGCCCUUCUGGACGGAUACUGACGCUGAGACGCGAAAGCGUGGGGAG
rnacentral:rRNA from 1 species